rnacentral:rRNA from 1 species
AGAGUUUGAUCCUGGCUCAGAUUGAACGCUGGCGGCAUGCCUUACACAUGCAAGUCGAACGGCAGCACGGGAGCAAUCCUGGUGGCGAGUGGCGAACGGGUGAGUAAUACAUCGGAACGUGCCCGAUCGUGGGGGAUAACGCAGCGAAAGCUGUGCUAAUACCGCAUACGAUCUACGGAUGAAAGCGGGGGAUCGCAAGACCUCGCGCGGACGGAGCGGCCGAUGGCAGAUUAGGUAGUUGGUGGGAUAAAAGCUUACCAAGCCGACGAUCUGUAGCUGGUCUGAGAGGACGACCAGCCACACUGGGACUGAGACACGGCCCAGACUCCUACGGGAGGCAGCAGUGGGGAAUUUUGGACAAUGGGCGCAAGCCUGAUCCAGCCAUGCCGCGUGCAGGAUGAAGGCCUUCGGGUUGUAAACUGCUUUUGUACGGAACGAAAAAGCUCUCUCUAAUACAGGGGGUGAAUGACGGUACCGUAAGAAUAAGCACCGGCUAACUACGUGCCAGCAGCCGCGGUAAUA